GGCAGCGGGCAGGGUCGGUGAGCGCCGCUCCCGGCGCGACGGCGGCGCGCUGCGUGUGUCGGUCGGUAGGGACCGACGUGUGCGCGCCUCCGAUACCGGUGCAGUGUGCGCCCCUGCGACGGCGGCGCGAUGUCGUGUCGGUGGGCGCGAUGGAAAUGUGUGUGUCGGCGGGCACGGGGCGCCCCGGCCGCGGACUCCCCGCUGCGCCAGCGAAGCCGCCGGCCGCACCGCCACCGCAGGGCUUCACAACGUCUCCCGGCAAGUACAGGGUGCCCAGUAGCUUCCCCACUCACCGCCUGAUGGGGAACCCUCUGUCCAGAAGAGCCAAAGGGAACUCCAGCAUCGUCGCUGGCACAGGGAUCAUCCUGCGGUGCCACUUCCCUCCCGGCCUUGCUCUCCUGCAGGCAGCUCAGCCCACGCGCAGAUAAGGGGAGUCUCAACGGUGCUUCACAGAGGCACAGCAAGCUGCUCCGCAGCCAAAGAGAAAGCCGGAGAGUGACGGCAUGCCAGUGCACCCGUGCUUGUCUCCCCUGGGUGUCCAUUGGGCUUUCUAUGUGAUGACAGGAUCAGAUAGCAUCGCUAACCCAGAGCCUCAGGGUCACCCGCUGCCCUGCCACAACGCUCCCUCGUGAAUUAGACACCAGGCAACUGCUUGUUUUCUCCGAUGUGCGCAGUAUGCGGGCACCGAGAUACUUCCUGCCUCCUACUCCACUCCGAGUCCCUGUUGCUCGUUGCCUUCCUCGUUUCGGCAGGGUGGUUGAGGCUGGGGGAAAAGGAGGCUCAGCAACACUGUCAUCGUGCUACCCUGCUUUUCAGGAGUGUGAAGUGCAUUUUCCAGCUUUGUAGAGGCAAAGGAAUGAAAGGCUGCAGAGUAAAGUCACGUAUCAGGUGUGGGGCCCUCUGGAAACCGAUUUGCUCAGACCUGUAGCUUUUUGUAAGAACUGCAUUUGGUCAAAAUUCCUUUCCCACUGUUAUCAGUCGACACAGAGAGAUCCCCUCCCCCCCGCGCCCCUCCUUGUCUUUAGUUGAUCUAUGAUCAGCUAAAGUACAGGGAUAGGUUAAUACACGGAUCUGGUUUCAGUAGUUCUCGACAUCUUCCUGCUGCUCUUCGGCAGAGGCACAGAUGCCGUUCAGACCUUGGGGGGGGGGGCGGGGGGCAGAGUUUUCACCGUGACACUCUCGUUUAUUUUGGCUUCCCUGCACGCUCACGGCACGCGCUGCCUCCCUGCAACAACAAAGUGACGCUCGACGAGACCCGUCUCCGUGUCACAAGACCGUCUGACUUCCCUCCUGGGAUGUUGCCCCUGCCAGGCGCUGAAGACAGCGGGAGGGUGAGCUUUCCAGGGCAAAGAGUGAAAAAGAUUAAACGCGAAGACGUUGUGGCAACUGGGCCACAGGCUUGACGCCUGGGCCACUGAAGUCGCCGUCGUGCUAAACAGGGAGCCCCCAGCAUCAAAACUCCCUAAAUGUAGUUCUUGACAAUAACACCUGGAUUCGGGAGCCGAGAUUGUUCCCUGAAUAACAGCGCCGUGGCUGAAACACGCAGCGAUCCGCGGUGACAGCGAAGGGCUGGAGAGGUGGCUGCUGUUUUCGGCAGUGCGGCAGAUCCGCCCUCAGUCACCGUCUCACCGCCAACAACGGGGCUCGGAGCAAUAGGCAAACCGAGAAAAUCAACCUGGACAUCUCUCGGGAGAAAAGUACCACCAGCAUGUGCCUACUGCCUUCCCCGGGGAGAGGCGGUGCCUCCUGCCCACCCCCCCCUCCCCCAACCAGAGCCUUGCGGCCGUCACGGAGUCACACACACACACACACACACACACACCCGUGCCACCAGCGGGUGCGGCAGCCGGUGUCUCCGGCGGUUUAGGUUGCUCGGGAGCCUCAGAGAGGGCCAGGGGCCACGAGGCAGCAUCGCGGUGGGGGCAGAGGCAGCGGGGCCUCCGGCUGCAGUGGUUUCGUGGCAGUUUUCUUGCAGAGACUGGCAAGGUGCGGAUUAGCUUUUGCACUCUUUCGCAGGGCGGCGACACUCGAGCGUGGGAAAUCUAGGCGGGAUGGAAAGCGGAGUGGGGUGGGGGGAGAAGAAACCCUGCAGGGAAAUAUCAAA